rnacentral:misc_RNA from 1 species
GAAAUGCGAUAAGUAAUGUGAAUUGCAGAAUUCAGUGAAUCAACGAAUCUUUGAACGCACCUUGCGCUCCUUGGUAUUCCUUGGAGCAUGCCUGUUUGAGUAUCAUGAAAUCUUCAAAGUAAAUCUUCUGUUAACUCAAUUGGUUUCUACUUUGGUAUUGGAGGUCUUUGCAGCUUCACACCUGCUCCUCUUUGUUCAUUAGCUGGAUCUCAGUGUUAUGCUUGGUUCCACUCGGCGUGAUAAGUUAUCUAUCGCUGAGGACACUGUAAAAGGUGGCCAAGGUAAAUGCAGAUGAACCGCUUCUAAUAGUCCAUUGACUUGGACAAUACUUUUAUGAUCUGAUCUCAAAUCAGGUAGGACUACCCGCUGAACUUAAGC